CAUUAACCUUACCUCCUCUCCCUCCACAUUCUCAAAACUUGCAUUUGGUUACUACUUGCUGAAGAACGCUACAUCCUCUGCCUGAAGUGACGGUCUCAGCCAGCCCAUGAGCCUUGACAGCGCAUUGUUGGAGUUUGGAAUCAACUGCCGCCUUUUCAUGGAUAACUUCCUGAAUCUGCAGUUAAAAUUUCAUUUUUUUCUGGGUGCCCCGAGUAAAACACCCUCUGUUAAAGAUUUAUCACUUCCGCUGUAUUUCA
rnacentral:lncRNA from 1 species